GAUGAACGCUGGCGGCGUGCCUAAUACAUGCAAGUCGAGCGAACAGACGAGGAGCUUGCUCCUCUGACGUUAGCGGCGGACGGGUGAGUAACACGUGGAUAACCUACCUAUAAGACUGGGAUAACUUCGGAAACCCGCUGCUAUUCCCGGUUAACAUUUCGACCGGCUGGUUUCACCGGUGAAAACGGUUUUGCCUGCCACUUUUAGCUGAUUCCGCGUCGCAUUAGCUAGUUGGUAAGGUACCGGCUUACCAAGGCAACGAUGCGUAGCCGACCUGAGGGGGUGAUCGGCCACACUGGAACUGAGACACGGUCCAGACUCCUACGGGAGGCAGCAGUAGGGAAUCUUCCGCAAUGGGCGAAAGCCUGACGGAGCAACGCCGCGUGAGUGAAGAAGGUCUUCGGAUCGUAAAACUCUGUUAUUAGGGAAGAACAAAUGUGUAAGAAACUAUGCACGUCUUGACGGUACCUAAUCAGAAAGCCACGGCUAACUACGUG
rnacentral:rRNA from 1 species